GACGAACGCUGGCGGCGUGCUUAACACAUGCAAGUCGAACGAUGAAGCCGGAGCUUGCUCUGGUGAAUUAGUGGCGAACGGGUGAGUAACACGUGAGUAACCUGCCCUUGACUCUGGGAUAACUGCGGGAAACUGUAGCUAAUACCGGAUACGACCCUCGGAGGCAUCUCCUGGGGGUGGAAAGAAUUUCGGUCAAGGAUGGACUCGCGGCCUAUCAGCUAGUUGGUGAGGUAAAGGCUCACCAAGGCGACGACGGGUAGCCGGCCUGAGAGGGUGACCGGCCACACUGGGACUGGGACACGGCCCAGACUCCUACGGGAGGCAGCAGUGGGGAAUAUUGCACAAUGGGCGCGAGCCUGAUGCAUCAACGCCGCGUGAGGGAUGACGGCCUUCGGGUUGUAAACCUCUUUUAGCAGGGAAGAAGCGAAAGUGACGGUACCUGCAGAAAAAGCACCGGCUAACUACGUGCCAGCAGCCGCCGCAG
rnacentral:rRNA from 1 species